rnacentral:lncRNA from 1 species
AAGCUGCAUUGGAACAAAGACAAAAUUAGGAACCAAAGCAAGACAAAACAAAAUAAUAAAGCAUAAGUAAUCCCGCAGAAAUAAUGUAAAUAAUUAUGCAAACAUAAGAAACAUAAAUACAGUCGCAUGCAAUAAUAAAAUCAAAAUUGCAGGCUUUUUUUGAAUAAACAAAUUCAGGAAAAGUAAGGACAAUGUUUUACUUAGGGAAAAGGCAAUAACAAUCAAUCAAACCUAACAAGAUUCUGAAUCCAAUCAUGAGUUGGAAAGCCCUUUUGAAGAAAGGUUCAACAUACAUAUAAAAGUGUAUAAACAUGCAUAAACAAGAAAGGACGGUCAUGCUAAUCAGAAGAGUGUGGUAUAUAAGAGUUCAAAAUCAUAACUAAGAGGCUCAAAUUUAGUACAUAGACCCAAAAUUAGUUUUGAGAGAAUUCAGGCUUCCAAAAUAGUACCGUAGUCCAAACAUAAGAUCAAAUUCGUCAAAACCAGCAAAUCCUAGGGUUUUCGACUCGAGUAAGAUACAUAGACAAAGAAGCAAGUAAUUGAAACAUGCUCAAAGAUUUCUUUCAGAGACUCAUGAGAAAACAAAUAUAUAAAAUUAGCAUGUUCAAGGCAAAUAGAAUGCAGAACUAGUUUGAAUCAUAGUGAGGAUAGAAAGGACAUGUUUAGAAAACCUGGGACAUAAACAAGUUCAGUAGUGUAGCCCUUAAGAAAAUAGUAGAAGAAAUAUGUGAAAAGAGAACUCAAAAAAAGGUCCAGUAAAGUCAAACAAAGAACUUAAGAACUUAGUAGGAAAUACAUAAAGUAAAAGAGUUCAACAUACCAGAAAAACAUAUCAGCAAGACAUACAGAAAAAACACAACAAGAUGAACAUGUGAGCAUGGUCUUGAAGCACAACAGUACACAAAGCACAGACGAAUCAUGUAUAGUAGAAAGAAAGUAGAAUAAAAAACAUGAGUGGUCGAAAAGAAAACAUACGAACAUAGUAUAUACAAAUAUAUAUAAAGAAAAGAAAAGGAAGAGUCAGAAAAACAUUUAGGCUUUUUCAGCAACCCUAAAUUGAAGAGAAGUAAUUUUUGAAAGACAAAAUUGGGGAAAACAUAUUAAAACUCUAGUAGAACACAAAUAUAGAACAGAUUUAAAGAAACAACCAAGGAAAAAACCUCGUAUAGCUAGGGUUUUAGAGAAAACCCUAGAAUUAGAAAGGCUUGGUAAAGGUCCGAUCUUGAGUCGGAUGAGUCAGAACUAGGCUUGAAAUACUUUGGAUACGCCGGAGCAAGGCUGGAGAGGCCAUGGAACCAUGGAUCUGAGAAGAUCUGAAAGGACACUGUCGAGGUCAGACCUUGAAACUUCGAACCCCAAACGUUGAAGAGUGGAGGGAGGUGAGUACAGGCCAUCCAUGGCCUGAGAAGCCAUGGAUUCUGGUGAGAUGGCGGUUGAAAAUGGUAGAAGAGAACUAAGGUUUUAGGAACCUUCGUGAGAUAUUUGAGAGAUGAGAAUGUUUGAAG